GUGUCAGCAGCCGCGGUAAGACGUAGGGUGCAAGCGUUAAUCGGAAUUACUGGGCGUAAAGCGUGCGCAGGCGGUUUUGUAAGACAGAUGUGAAAUCCCCGGGCUCAACCUGGGAACUGCAUUUGUGACUGCAAGGCUAGAGUGCGUCAGAGGGAGGUGGAAUUCCGCGUGUAGCAGUGAAAUGCGUAGAGAUGCGGAGGAACACCGAUGGCGAAGGCAGCCUCCUGGGAUGACACUGACGCUCAUGCACGAAAGCGUGGGGAGCAAACAGGAUUAGAUACCCGAGUAGUCC
rnacentral:rRNA from 1 species